rnacentral:rRNA from 1 species
UCGAGGGGCAGCACAAGGUAGCUUGCUAUCUGGGUGGCGACCGGCGCACGGGUGCGUAACGCGUAUGCAACUUGCCCUAUACAGGAGGAUAACCCGUCGAAAGACGGACUAAUACUGCGUAUGCUCACAACUUGGCAUCAAGAAGUGAGGAAAGAAAUUCGGUAUAGGAUAGGCAUGCGUCCCAUUAGCUUGUUGGUGAGGUAACGGCUCACCAAGGCGACGAUGGGUAGGGGAACUGAGAGGUUUAUCCCCCACACUGGUACUGAGACACGGACCAGACUCCUACGGGAGGCAGCAGUGAGGAAUAUUGGUCAAUGGGCGCGAGCCUGAACCAGCCAAGUCGCGUGAAGGAUGACUGUCUUAUGGAUUGUAAACUUCUUUUAUACGGGAAUAACAAGAGUCACGUGUGACUCCCUGCAUGUACCGUAUGAAUAAGCAUCGGCUAACUCCGUGCCAGCAGCCGCGGUAAUACGGAGGAUGCGAGCGUUAUCCGGAUUUAUUGGGUUUAAAGGGUGCGUAGGCGGUUUGUUAAGUCAGCGGUGAAAUCUAGAGGCUCAACCUCGAAACUGCCGUUGAAACUGGCGAACUUGAGUGUAGAUGAGGUAGGCGGAAUUCGUGGUGUAGCGGUGAAAUGCAUAGAUAUCACGAGGAACUCCGAUUGCGAAGGCAGCUUACUAAGGUACAACUGACGCUGAAGCACGAAAGCGUGGGUAUCAAACAGGAUUAGAUACCCUGGUAGUCCACGCAGUAAACGAUGAUAACUGGGCGUAUGCGAUAUACAGUAUGCUCCUAAGCGAAAGCGUUA